UACGGAGGGAGCUAGCGUUGUUCGGAAUUACUGGGCGUAAAGCGCACGUAGGCGGCUUUGUAAGUUAGAGGUGAAAGCCCGGGGCUCAACUCCGGAAUUGCCUUUGAAACGGGAUCGCUAGAGUCCGAGAGAGGAUGGCGGAAUUCCUAGUGUAGAGGUGAAAUUCGUAGAUAUUAGGAAGAACACCGGUGGCGAAGGCGGCCAUCUGGCUCGGUACUGACGCUCAGGCGCGAAAGCGUGGGGAGCAA
rnacentral:rRNA from 1 species